rnacentral:tRNA from 1 species
AGGGAGACAACAAAAUGUUUAAUAUUAAUUUUGUCACCUUAGGUCGAUCGGUAUCUCACGUUCUUAAUUAAUUUAAGAAUUUCAUUCCUAAGUUUUUUCUAGGUCACACCCAUUUCUUUUCCUGGGCCAUUAGCUCAGGUGGUUAGAGCGCACCCCUGAUAAGGGUGAGGUCCCUGGUUCAAGUCCAGGAUGGCCCAUAUCUCUAUGUUGGGGGUAUAGCUCAGUUGGUAGAGCGCCUGCUUUGCAAGCAGGAUGUCAGCGGUUCGAGUCCGCUUACCUCCACUGAUAACCACCUCUCCCAUAACUUCAAUAAGGGAAACGUUAUGAGUUUGAUCAAAUUCUGAACGAAUCUAGCUUCUUAAUAAAUCAUUAAGAUGCUGGACUCAUUGAAUUUAUUCAUUGUUUUCAGAGAACCUUGACAACUGCAUAGAUUAUUUUUAAAGACAAUAAGCAUCUUUAUGAUGCAGAUUUAUUAUUUAUGUGAAUGCAUUAAUAACAAUUCUAUUAAGCUGAUGCUUCAAUUUUUGAAGUUAUU